UAGGGAAUUUUCCACAAUGGGGGCAACCCUGAUGGAGCAACGCCGCGUGCAGGAUGAAUGCCUUAGGGUUGUAAACUGCUUUUAUUUGUGAUGAUUUUGACAGUAGCAAAUGAAUAAGGAUCGGCUAACUCCGUGCCAGCAGCCGCGGUCAUACGGAGGAUCCAAGCGUUACCCGGAAUUACUGGGCGUAAAGAGUUGCGUAGGCGGCAUGUUAUGUCAGGUGUGAAAUCUUGGGGCUCAACCCCGAGGCUAUGCCUGAAACUGACAAGCUAGAGCAUGAGAGGGGUACCUGGAAUUCCUGGUGUAGGAGUGAAAUCCGUAGAUAUCAGGAGGAACACCAAUGGCGUAGGCAGGGUACUGGCUCAUUGCUGACGCUCAGGCACGAAAGCGUGGGGAGCGA
rnacentral:rRNA from 1 species